rnacentral:rRNA from 1 species
AGGACUAACGCUGGCGGCGUGCCUAACACAUGCAAGUCGAACGAGAGUAGCAAUACUCUAGUGGCAGACGGGUGAGUAACACGUGGUCAACCUACCUCUAUGUGGGGGAUAACUAGCCGAAAGGUUAGCUAAUACCGCAUACGAUCGUCGAGCGGCAUCGCUUGACGAUGAAAGGAGCAAUCCGCAGAGAGACGGGACCGCGUCCCAUUAGCUAGUUGGUGGGGUAAUGGCCUACCAAGGCGACGAUGGGUAGCUGGCUUGAGAGAGCGACCAGCCACACUGGGACUGAGACACGGCCCAGACUCCUACGGGAGGCAGCAGUGAGGAAUUUUCCGCAAUGGGCGAAAGCCUGACGGAGCGACGCCGCGUGUGGGAAGAAGGCCUUCGGGUCGUAAACCACUGUCGAAGGGGAAGAUAUUGACGGUACCCUUGGAGGAAGCCCGGCUAACUACGUGCCAGCAGCCGC